GGAAGUAAAAGUCGUAACAAGGUUUCCGUAGAACAAGUUUCUUGGGACWCUCRCUGUGAUCYUUCUGUAUGUACACUUGCUGAAGCCUUAGUGGGCCCAAAAGGUCGACCGAUAAAUGCGACUCUAACAAGCGGUCACCCACUGCCUAUCUGUGAGGAUGGUGUGGGUCGCUAGUCAGGUUCCCAACACUAACAAGAGAGGGAAGCCUUCGUUCUGAAGGUCUGGCGACACUUUCGAAUUGCGGGAACACCCUAAAGCCAAGUCCUACCAACCUACUGGGGAAACCUAGGUGGGGGCUCAUGCUAACUACAUGAGAUAUGGUAAAAAGGGACUUGGAUACAUCUGGCCUCUAGGCUGGAAAUUAUGGGCGAUCCGCAGCCAAGCCCUAACGUGUCAUCUUCCCCGUUCAAGGGGUGAAUGAGCUAUGGGACAGGUUCACAGACUAAGUGGAAGUGGGCAGGUUGAUGGAAACAUCUUCUUGCUUAAGAUAUAGUCGGGCCCUCGGGGAAACUCGAGUGGGUGAAACCGUACAUGCGUCUUCUUCUGUCCUAGAAUAGAAAGAGUAGGGGGAGGAUCUCGUUCCUUAUCACCCUUUCUAUCUGGCAGGUCAGAAGGAGUACAUCGCUCUCUCCAUAUUUGGUAAUUUGCCGCAUACGUACGUACGUACCUGUUCCGUAGGUGAACCUGCGGAAGGAUCAUUA
rnacentral:rRNA from 1 species